CAAGAGCGUAUGUAAAAGUUGUUGCAGUUAAAAAGCUCGUAGUUGAACCUUGGGUUUGGUUGGCCGGUCCGCUUUUUUGCGAGUACUGGAUUCAACCGAGCCUUUCCUUCUGGCUAACCAGUCGUUUCGGCGGCUGGCGUACCAGGAUUUUUACUUUGAGAAAAUUAGAGUGUUCAAAGCAGGCAUUAGCUUGAAUAUAUUAGCAUGGAAUAAUAGAAUAGGACGUUAUGGUUCUAUUUUGUUGGUUUCUAGGACCAUCGUAAUGAUUAAUAGGGACGGUCGGGGGCAUCAGUAUUCAGUUGUCAGAGGUGAAAUUCUUGGAUUUACUGAAGACUAACUACUGCGAAAGCAUUUGCCAAGGACGUUUUCAUUAA
rnacentral:rRNA from 1 species